rnacentral:lncRNA from 7 species
AUUAGCUCCGCCGUUCCCCGCGCGCCGCAGCGCAUCGCGGGGAUGCAACGCGUUCCUAAUGCAUGAAGUGUGGUCCGGGUAGGACACAAAUAGUGUUGCAGAUUACCAGAGCUAUUUAUCAUUUUAAUGGAACGCCGUGGAAUAUUACAUUGCGCCAUGUGUUUAAAUUGAUAAAUUGUAUUAGGAAAACAUCGGAUGGGGUUUUUAAUGCCCUUUAGGAAAGAGGAAUGGGCUCAACCGAUGAAGGUGAACUUUAUUAACGGCCCUAAGGAGAGAUGCAGCUGCUCCGUACCCAUCGGUAUUGCACUGAUGGGAGCCUGGAAAAUGCAGCUUCACACCGUGCAUCCUCACAGCAGAGCUUCAGCAGGAGGUGAGGGCUGUGUGUGCUGUUCUGCGUGCCGUCCGGGUCGGGGUGCACAACACUUUGCUUUCCAGCAACGCCGCUCCUAUUUGCCGGCCGCUGCUCCGGGAGGAUCCGCUCCUCUUAAUGGCUCUGCUCCUCGAGUUCAUUAAAUAAUCACCUCG